UGCGGAAUUUUAGAUAAUGGAGGGAACUCUGAUCUAGCGACGCCGCGUGCAGGAAGAAGGUCUUCGGGUUGUAAACUGCUGUGGUAAGGGAAAAAUGCUAUGUAGAGUGGAAAGCUACAUAGAGGGAUGGUACCUUACUAGAAAGCCCCGGCUAACUACGUGCCAGCAGCCGCGGUAAUACGUAGGGGGCGAGCGUUACCCGGAAUCACUGGGCGUAAAGGGAGCGUAGGUGGCCUAACAUGUCAACUGUGAAAACCCGGAGCUCAACUCCGGACUUGCUGUUGAAACUGGUAGGCUUGAGGACGGUAGAGGAAGACGGAACUGCCAGUGUAGGGGUAAAAUCCUUAGAUAUUGGCAGGAACGCCGGUGACGAAGGUGGUUUUCUGGGCCGGUUCUGACACUGAUGCUCGAAAGCCAGGGGAGCGAACG
rnacentral:rRNA from 1 species